GUAAAAGUUGUCAAAAUAAUAAAUAGUAAAGUAAAGUACAGAUACCCCAAAAAACGACUUAAGUAGUACUUUAAAGUACUUUUACUUAAGUACUUUACACCUCCGCCUAAUGAACACAGUCCAGGUCAGCGUUUUUUAAUGUUUUGUUAUUUGCCACACACAUUGCAAUUCACCAGAGAGACCACUAGGAAGCGUGUUUUGAGCCUAAGCCACUUUCUUUUCACACAGUCACAUCCAGUAUGACUAAAGCUGUGUUGGAAAAAGAUCAGGACAACGCAUCUGUCUGUUUCUCUGUUCUAUUCCUCCCACCUUACUAUGACUUAUACACCAUAUGACCACUACUACAGAUGAUGACUAAUGGUUGUGUGUGUUUGUGUGUGUGCGUGUGCAUGUGUGUGUGUGCGUGUAUGACUGUAGGCAUGUAUGUGUGUGUAUGUGCAUGCUCACUUUCAUGUGUACGUGUUUGCGUGUGUGUGUGUGUGUGUGUGUGUGUGUGUGUGUGUGUGUGUGUGUGUGUGUAAUACAUCUAGUCAGUAGAGGACCAUAUGGGAAUGCUGUACUGGGCUUUCUGUUCAUUAUUUCCUGAAGAACACAGAGAACUCAUAUAGAAGGCAGGGUAAAGUCAAUAUGAGAGGAUUCUGCCAAGAGUGUCUGAGCUGCAGCCAACUAUCUGAGAGGAGAGGAGACAGAGAAAGCAGGAGUCGAGGCUCCUUCCUCCGGUCCUUGCUGCUCCAAACACCGACAGCUGUGCAGCAGAGAGCCCAGGGUUGCAGACACCUUCCGCGGGCUCGACACUCGGCAGUUAUCUGCUACAAAAACAGGCGACACACAAAAAAAUAAACAUCACCUUAGGCUGAAAGGAGUUUCUCUAACAAACGAAUACAGAAAGAAAAGAACUGACUUUCUCAAUCACGAAUGCACUUCAUGUAAAUAACCCAUCACUCAUCUGCGAUUUCCUCAAGUAAUUUCCCCUCUACCCUUAUCGUUGGCUAGCCGCGGGGCUUUUCUCCGUGUGCAUACCGAAUCAGUCGGAAAUGCCACUGGGUUCACUGCUCCAGCGAAGGUAAAGGGGAGACAUGAUAUUCACCUCAGCCGGGCGGUAGGAUUGUCCCCCGCCCGCCCUGACACCGACCUCAAUGACCAAACCCUUUCACCGGGGCCGUCCCUGCCGCGACCCAUGUGCGCGUAGUGACACGUAGGCUACGAUUUCAGGAAAGUCCACUCUUCUGCAUAACACGACUUGACACAGAAAUGAAGGCUGAUGAAGUUUCAUGGUUUGCAGAAUAUAUGACUAGCCUACAUUUUUGCUGCUCUUAGUUUAGACACCAAAUUUGGUUCAUUGAAUUAGACAGAUGUAUUGGUCUGGAGUAGAUUUUUAAUCCCAUUACAGAAUGCCAUUCAAAUGUCAAUGAGGAGAGAGUUUAAUACUGGCCCAAAUCUCUCUCAAUCUCAUCCUCCAACUCUCCCAAUCGUUCUCUCCGUCAUCUUCUCUCUCCUUCACUGUUACGAAUGGCUGUACAUUUACAGCAAAACUAACAGUUAACCACUGUUAUUCUAUAUUACAGUACAGUACCGUAAAGAGCAAUGCAUUAUGGGGUCUCAUAGGCAUUUCUCUACACUGCUGUAAAAUGUAUUUUACAAUACAAUUUUUACAGUAAAGUACUGUAUUACCUGUUUUGCUGUAUAUUUACAGCAGCAUUCUGUGAAUUAUGGUGCAUUGUUGGACAAUGUUGUGGGCAUUAACAUAUUUUGAUGCUUGCCUUGUAAGUGGCUAUAUUUGUUGCACCCAUUGGUGAGAAUGCUGUACCAGUUGAACUGAUAUAUGGUAUUAGUGCCCUAACAUUUUCAUUUAUAAAGGGGUUAAAUCGGAAUAACACCAGGUCUUAAAACUUUAAUUGGGAACAUAUUAAGCCAUCUUGUUAUGCCCUGUAAUCACAGCCUGUUUGGAAACCUUUGUUAAGGCCUAUAGAAGUGCAAGUGAUUUAAAACACCAAAUAUCUAAAAAUAUGCUGUAAUAUACAAAUACCCUGCAGCCAACCUGCUAGCUCUAAUCCAAUGUAAUUACAGUAAAAUACUAAAAUACCAACGUGAUUACAGUAGCAUUUACUUUCUCACAGUAUAGUAGGCUAAAUUGACAGUAUUGUUUCGUUGCUCUGCAUUUUCCAGUAAUUUAUAGGAAGCUGGUGGCAAGUUACUCUGAAUAUUACAGUAAUGUACUUUGCACUAGCCAGAGAUGGGCAAAGAUACGUCACAUUUUUUACACUACGAAGUUUUACAUUAAUGCUCAAAAUGUAACACAUAUCAGAGUACUUGUUACACUCGGUAGAGUGGGAAUAUGUGUUAUCUGAGGUAGUGUUCAAAUGAACUCUUUAAGUAUUGAUUUAUCACUGAAAAAUUUACUGUGCACCCUCCCUACACAUCUGAUGAAUAUCACUGGAAACCUGUUCGAUCACCAUGCACUGCAAAAUCAUACUGGCUAUGGAUGCAGAGGACAUAAACACAUCAACACGCCAGAGGAUAUACACAUUGGACUUGGGGCUCUGCUGGGAGUUUACGUCAUAUUUGGAUCUUUUACUUCUGGUUUGCCGCUAUAAUCCCCAAAAUGUAACCCAAAAGGUUAAUUGAGGAACCGUUAAAGAGGGGGGGGUUCAAAGAAUUUAUAGGGGUUCCCCCGCAGUUUCAAUUUGAAGAACCCCUAAAAAAUCUUCUAUAGCCUACACUCUCCCCUUCACACCUUCUCCAUCUCUCCGUCAUAGGUCCUCCAUCCUUCCUCAUCCAUCAUUCUCUAUCUCUUCCUCCAUCUCUGCAUUCUCCAUUGGGCAAUAAUGUUCAUGUCUUUACAGUGGAGGAUAACAAGGUGCUUUACCAUCAUGAGACGAGACGAAACAACUGCAAUGGGAUUUCACCUACAGUAUAUUGGUCACUCUCUCUCUCUCUCUGUCUCUGAUAGGAUGAUGGAGGGGGGUUGAUCUGGUAAGGGGGUGUAUAUCAAUUUGCAUACAUUUCCCAAAACUGCCUUUGAACUCUUCUUUUCUCACUGUCCCUUUCUCUUUUGUCACCCUCUCAAUUUCCCAAGUAAGAGUUUUCAUCUGAUGGUAAUUUGGUAAAUUCACAAAUGUUGUCACUUGAGUAGUUAUCAUUUGAGAAUUGAGUCAUAUGUGACAGAUGCAUUGCAUUCAUAUUGUGAAAUUUCCUGAAUAAAUU
rnacentral:lncRNA from 1 species